UGAGGAAUAUUGGUCAAUGGGCGAGAGCCUGAACCAGCCAAGUCGCGUGAGGGAAGAAUGGUCUAUGGCCUGUAAACCUCUUUUACGAGAGAAGAAUAAGAAGCACGCGUGCUUUGAUGCCAGUAUCUCGUGAAUAAGCAUCGGCUAACUCCGUGCCAGCAGCCGCGGUAAUACGGGGGAUGCGAGCGUUAUCCGGAUUUAUUGGGUUUAAAGGGCGCGUAGGCGGGACGCCAAGUCAGCGGUAAAAGACUGCAGCUAAACUGUAGCACGCCGUUGAAACUGGCGCCCUAGAGAGAAGUCGAGGGAGGCGGAACAAGUGAAGUAGCGGUGAAAUGCAUAGAUAUCACUUGGAACCCCGAUAGCGAAGGCAGCUUCCCAGCCUUUAUCUGACGCUGAUGCGCGAGAGCGUGGGUAGCGAACA
rnacentral:rRNA from 1 species